CCUACGGGAGGCAGCAGUGGGGAAUUUUGGACAAUGGGCGCAAGCCUGAUCCAGCCAUUCCGCGUGCAGGAUGAAGGCCUUCGGGUUGUAAACUGCUUUUGUACGGAACGAAACGGUUCUCUCUAAUACAGGGGGCUAAUGACGGUACCGUAAGAAUAAGCACCGGCUAACUACGUGCCAGCAGCCGCGGUAAUACGUAGGGUGCAAGCGUUAAUCGGAAUUACUGGGCGUAAAGCGUGCGCAGGCGGUUUUGUAAGACAGAGGUGAAAUCCCCGGGCUCAACCUGGGAACUGCCUUUGUGACUGCAGGGCUGGAGUACGGCAGAGGGGGAUGGAAUUCCGCGUGUAGCAGUGAAAUGCGUAGAUAUGCGGAGGAACACCGAUGGCGAAGGCAAUCCCCUGGGCCUGUACUGACGCUCAUGCACGAAAGCGUGGGGAGCAAACAGGAUUAGAUACCCUGGUAGUCCACGCCCUAAACGAUGUCAACUGGUUGUUGGGUCUUCACUGACUCAGUAACGAAGCUAACGCGUGAAGUUGACCGCCUGGGGAGUACGGCCGCAAGGUUGAAACUCAAAUGAAUUGACGG
rnacentral:rRNA from 1 species